UACGUAGGGGGCGAGCGUUGUCCGAAUUUAUUGGGCGUAAAGAGCUCGUAGGCGGUUUGGUAAGUUGGAUGUGAAAUCUCCAGGCUCAACUUGGAGGGGUCAUUCGAUACUGCCAUGACUAGAGUUCGGUAGGGGAGUGUGGAAUUCCUGGUGGAGCGGUGAAAUGCGCAGAUAUCAGGAGGAACACCCGUAGCGAAGGCGGCACUCUGGGCCGGAACUGACGCUGAGGAGCGAAAGCGUGGGGAGCGAACAGG
rnacentral:rRNA from 1 species